GAUGAACGCUGGCGGCGUGCCUAAUACAUGCAAGUCGAGCGAACAGAUAAGGAGCUUGCUCCUUUGACGUUAGCGGCGGACGGGUGAGUAACACGUGGGUAACCUACCUAUAAUACUGGGAUAACUUCGGGAAACCGGAGCUAAUACCGGAUAACAUUUGGCACCGCAUGGUUCUAAAGUGAAAGAUGGUUUUUCUAUCACUUAUAGAUGGACCCGCGCCGUAUUAGCUAGUUGGUAAGGUAACGGCUUACCAAGGCGACGAUACGUAGCCGACCUGAGAGGGGGAUCGGCCACACGGGAAGUGAGACACGGACAAGACUCCUAAGGGAGGCAGCAGUAGGGAAUGUUACGCAGUGGGCGAAAGCAUGACGGAGCAAGGCCGCGUGAGUGAUGAAGGGUUUCGGCGCGUAAAACUCGGUUAUUAGGGAAGAACAAAUGUGUAAGUAAAUGUGCACGUAGUGACGGUACCGAAUAAGAAAGCCACGGCUAACUACGUG
rnacentral:rRNA from 1 species